rnacentral:rRNA from 1 species
UACGGAGGGUGCGAGCGUUGUCCGGAAUCACUGGGCGUAAAGGGCGCGUAGGUGGCCUGUGGAAGUCUGCGGUGAAAGCCCGGCGCUCAACGCCGGGUCGGCCGUGGAUACUCUCGGGCUUGAGCUUACUAGAGGCAGAUGGAAUUCCGGGUGUAGCGGUGGAAUGCGUAGAGACCCGGAAGAACACCGGUGGCGAAGGCGGUCUGCUGGGGUAAUGCUGACACUGAUGCGCGACAGCGUGGGGAGCAAACAGG